AACUGAGGCACAGGGGUUUUAGUACCUUGCCCAAAGUCACCUAGCUCAUAAGUGAUGGAGUUAGAAUUUUCAUGGAGCCUAAAUUUCUGAACCCAGCAUCAAGGCUCUUCCCACCUGGACCACAGCCUUCCUUAAUGUUCUCAAAACACUCUCCUCCUCAUCGCGACCACCCUUGAGAACUUCCGACUAUGCACCAUGCAGGUUCUUGCCUUUGUUUCCUGCUUUCCAAUGUGAUUUGGUGCAUGUGUAGUCGGGAAUCUGACCCGCCCAAAGUGACGUUCAGCCUCUGUUCCAGAUUCCAG